UUGAACGCUGCGGCAUGCCUUACACAUGCAAGUCGAACGGCAGCGGGACGUUCGGUCCGCCGGCGAGUGGCGAACGGGUGAGUAAUGUAUCGGAACGUACCUUUCAGUGGGGGAUAACGUAGCGAAAGUUACGCUAAUACCGCAUAUUCUGUGCGCAGGAAAGCAGGGGAUCGCAAGACCUUGCGCUGAUUGAGCGGCCGAUAUCAGAUUAGCUAGUUGGUGGGGUAAAGGCCUACCAAGGCGACGAUCUGUAGCGGGUCUGAGAGGAUGAUCCGCCACACUGGAACUGAGACACGGUCCAGACUCCUACGGGAGGCAGCAGUGGGAAUUUUGGACAAUGGGGGCAACCCUGAUCCAGCCAUGCCGCGUGAGUGAAGAAGGCCUUCGGGUUGUAAAGCUCUUUCGGCCGGGAAGAAAUCGUAUGGGUUAAUACCCUGUGCGGAUGACGGUACCGGCAUAAGAAGCACCGGCUAACUACGUG
rnacentral:rRNA from 1 species